rnacentral:rRNA from 1 species
GACGAACGUUGGCGGCGUGCUUAAUACAUGCAAGUCAACUGAAGCAGUGGUAGCAAUAUCGCUGUGGAGGUGGCGCACGGGUGAGUAACACGUAGGUAAUCUGUCUUCAGGUCUGGCAUAACUCCGGGAAACCGGGGCUAAUAGCAGAUGAUGCAGCGGCUCGACAUCGAGACAGUUGUUAAAGCUAUGGCGCCUGAAGAUGAGCCUGCGUCUGAUUAGCUAGUUGGCGGGGUAACGGCCCACCAAGGCAACGAUCAGUAGCUGGUCUGAGAGGAUGAUCAGCCACACUGGAACUGAGACACGGUCCAGACUCCUACGGGAGGCAGCAGUAAGGAAUAUUGCUCAAUGGGAGAAAUCCUGAAGCAGCAACGCCGCGUGAGGGACGAAGGGCUUUUGCUUGUAAACCUCUGUAGUGAGAGAAAAAAAUCCCAAUCUUUGGGACAUGAUGGUAUCUCAAAAGUAAGCCCCGGCUAACUACGUG